UGUACGCAAGACUGUAAGUCGCAUUGAAUAAAAGCGUCUGCGAAAUGGCAUAUA
rfam:Salmo salar isolate Sally breed double haploid chromosome ssa03, whole genome shotgun sequence.